GAUGAACGCUGGCGGCGUGCCUAAUACAUGCAAGUCGAGCGAACAGAUAAGGAGCUUGCUCCUUUGACGUUAGCGGCGGACGGGUGAGUAACACAUGGAUAACCUACCUAUAAGACUGGGAUAACUUCGGGAAACCGGAGCUAAUACCGGAUAACAUAUUGAACCGCAUGGUUCAAUAGUGAAAGGCGGCUUUGCUGUCACUUAUAGAUGGAUCCGCGCCGUAUUAGCUAGUUGGUAAGGUAACGGCUUACCAAGGCAACGAUACGUAGCCGACCUGAGAGGGUGAUCGGCCACACUGGAACUGAGACACGGUCCAGACUCCUACGGGAGGCAGCAGUAGGGAAUCUUCCGCAAUGGGCGAAAGCCUGACGGAGCAACGCCGCGUGAGUGAUGAAGGUCUUCGGAUCGUAAAACUCUGUUAUCAGGGAAGAACAAAUGUGUAAGUAACUGUGCACAUCUUGACGGUACCUGAUCAGAAAGCCACGGCUAACUACGUG
rnacentral:rRNA from 1 species